ACUUGAGCUGCUCAUUCACCAUAGUGACUCUUUGGUUCUCUCCAGAGCAUUUCCUGUUCCUCCAAAAUGUCUUUUCCAAUGAGGGAACUUCCACAAGAGCACUCAGGGGUUUACCUCCAGUGCCCCAGAACCACUUGGUCCUAGCAACCUGGCCCUUUUUCCCAGAGUACCUGGCAGGCAAAGGGGCAAACAAUGACCCACAGGAGAGAAAUGGCAAUUACCUCUGCUAAGGUGCCCACUUCACACACCUGUCACAACCCAUCAUGAAAGGCCGAUGGAGAGGGACAAAAACGAGGGAGUUCUCCCACGGUGACCCUUCAGCUUUCAUAGUCUCCCCUCUUUUUCAGCUCAACUAUUAAGACAUAAAGGGGUCAGUCCCCAGACGGCUCCAUCCUUUAUCCCUCCCUCACACACUCAUCUCUGACAUCAACCCUUGUUGUGUUC